rnacentral:rRNA from 1 species
GAUGAACGCUAGCUACAGGCUUAACACAUGCAAGUCGAGGGGUCUGCUUCGGCAGACGACCGGCGCACGGGUGAGUAACGCGUAUCCAACCUGCCCUUCAUAUUGGGAUAGCCUCUCGAAAGGGAGAUUAAUACCGAAUAACAUGGUAAAGUUGCCUGAUUUUACCAUGAAAGCUCCGGCGAUGAAGGAUGGGGAUGCGUUCCAUUAGGUAGUAGGCGGGGUAACGGCCCACCUAGCCGACGAUGGAUAGGGGUUCUGAGAGGAAGGUCCCCCACACUGGAACUGAGACACGGUCCAG